UACAGAGGUCUCAAGCGUUGUUCGGAUUCAUUGGGCGUAAAGGGUGCGUAGGCGGCGCGGUAAGUCGGGUGUGAAAUCUCGGAGCUUAACUCCGAAACUGCAUUUGAUACUGGCGUGCUUGAGGACUGGAGAGGAGACUGGAAUUCAUGGUGUAGCAGUGAAAAUGCGUAGAGAUCAUGAGGAAGACCAGUGGCGAAGGCGGGUCUCUGGACAGUUCCUGACACUGAGACACGAAGGCCAGGGGAGCAAACGGG
rnacentral:rRNA from 1 species